AGCAGCAGCAGCCCGGGCGCGCUUUCCAUCCCGCUGCAAAGUUUUCAGAGGAGCCCUAAAGGAAUCACUUCCAGAUGAAAGGUUAGCUGUAAUCCCAGCUCGCUGCGCCAGGAGCUGCCAGACUCCAAGCGGCCCGGCAGCCAGGGCUAUGCUGCGCUCGCGAUAACAAAGGAACCGAAAUGGAAGAUGUGAACUCCAGAAGGGUCACAGAUUUCUUGCAGAAAUGUGUCAAGCUUGAGGAUAACGAAGGGGACGCCCAGCCCAAGGAGGAGAUCAUCGAAGUGCAAACUCUCCCUGUCCUCGCACCGUCUUAUCCUCAACCAGUACAAGAAGAAAUAUCGAUGGUCUUCAACACUUGCGCCGUGCCAGCCAAUCUAGGCCCGUGCACCCGGAGGCGGCGUGAAAAAGGCAGUGGUCACGACGGGACGAGCACCUCUCUCUAUGUUGACCGCCGCAAGUCCAAAGUGUGGAACUAUUACACCAAGCUAGGGGAUGCCUACGUGGAAUGCAAUGUCUGUAAGAAACAGCUGUCCUUCCACAACAGUACCACUACAAUGAGGGAACAUCUGGUGAGGAAACACAGCAUUCGUGACACCUUGCUCUCUCAGCUGAAGGAUGAUCAGGUUUCAGAACCAGACUACAUAGCUCAGGAAAACGCCAUCAAAAGGGCUCGGCAGCUGACUACUGAAAACAACAGCCAGUACCAUGCCGUGUCCUGCACGGAACCCAGGACUGAUGUGAUUCUGGAGCUAGUGCUUGAAAUGAUCUUUCGGGAUCUCCAUCCCCUCUCGGUCGUGAAGGACAAAGGCUUUGGUCUUCUAAUUGGCUACCUGGAACCUAGUUUUAUUCUUCCAUCCCCUGUGCAGCUGUCCAGCAUGCUGUGGCACCGAUACAAUGUGGUCAAGCAGCACCUGGAACGCUAUUUGCAGACAGCUCAGUCCAUUGUGAUCUCCGCAGAAUUUUGGCUGUCCCACCCCAACCAGACGUACCUGACAAUCAUGACUAAUUUUAUUGAUGGGGAGUGGCGGAGGGCAAGGUGCAUUCUGGAGACCCAGCAGGUGCACGAGAACAAAGCGGAGAGCAACUUGGGAGACAGGCUGUACUCCGUCCUGACAGACUUUGGGCUCUCCAACAAGUCUGUCUUCUGCGUGAUGCACGACAGCCAGCAAGACUUGGAAGCAAAUUCGGUGCCGCUCAAGAGUGUCUAUGGCUGGACCAGCUUGUGCUGUGCUGCCCACUUGCUGCACCUGUGCGUCAAGGUGGGGCUCGAAGUGGAGCAGGUGCAGGAAGCCCUCAGCACGGCCCGCAGCAUUGUUUGCUACUUCCAGCAGGAUGCUAAAGCCACGUGCUCACUGAACAGCAAACUGGAAGCCAUCAACAAAACUAAACUGAAACUGGUAAUGGACACCGGGGCUCGGUGGAUAACCACUAUCGAGAUGUGCGAGUGCCUCCUGGACUUGAAGUGGGCCAUCAUGUCUGUGCUGGAGGAACACCCCAAGGGAACGACAGUGGUCCAGAACUUAGCCGACCACCAGUGGAAGCUCUUGCAGGACUUAGUGCCUGUCAUGAGGACACUGAAGAUUGCCACCUCGUUCUUGCGGGAGGAGCAGAACUUCUCCAUCUCUUCCCUGAUGCCGUGCAUCCAUGGCAUCGUCACCGCCAUUGGACAGCAGUCGGAAGAGGCAAGUGGCGUCAUCAAGACAGUGGUGAACAAUAUAAGGUCGGAGCUAACACAGCGCUGGGGCAUCCUGGACGAAGAGAAACUGCUGGAGAGCCCAGCGGUGGUGGCUUCAUUCUUAGAUCCACGUUUCAAGGAGAUGAGGUUCCUGAGCCCCAGCCUCCGGAGCGAGCUGCACAAAAAAAUCAAAAGCAUGCUGUCGCAGUUCUUCAACCACCAGUCCCCCGCGUCAACCCAAUUUUGGGUGCCAAACACUGACUACAAAGCAGAGGUUGGUGAAACGGGCAAUCAGCUUUCUGCCCAUAAGGAGAGAGGCCCAAGCGGGCAGUCUCAGAGUAUGUACGACAUUCUUUUGGGAAAAGACCCAACGGAGAGCAUGCCCGAGAUCCAUCAGCAGCUGGAGAAUUACAUUGUAGAACCUCUUUGCAAGCGCAGCACUAACCCGUUAGACUGGUGGAAGAAUAACGAGCACCGCUUUCCCUCUGUAGCCAGGCUCGCCCGGCAAUACCUGGCCAUCCCAGCGACAGUCGUGCCACCAGAUCAGGCCUUUGCUCCCAAUGAAAGUGCCCUGGAGCACCGGAGAGGUGUCCUUGCCCCGGAGAACCUGGACCAGAUUCUCUUCUUGCACCAAAAUUUUGAUUUUCUAGAAUCUAUGAGAAAUGGUAAUGAGAACCUGAGUAAGAAUGCACACAGCCAGUACUGAAAAGUCUGGUGUGGGGAGUACAGGGAGAUAUACUGAAGAUUGGUCGAUGCACCUGGAGAUAAGGGGAGGUGCAAAGUCUUUGAAAGCACCACUAGACCUUCAGGUCACUCUAGUUUUUUUUUUUAAAGUAGUGCAGAGUUUGACCUUGACUGUACUUUAAAGGUAAAUCUGCCCACUGUCGAAACUUAUCUUGUGUUUUUUCCAUAGUAGUAGGUCAGCCCUUAAGAGUAGCUUUCUUCUCCAGCAAUGCACCUUAACUAAAAUGAGCAGAAGAGUGGAGGGCUGUUUGCUAUAAUACUCACAAAACAUACAAGGUGCAUUCUCAAAAGGCAAGUCCUUUUCUGGAGAGCCAUGAAAACCUAAUGUGAGAACUCUGACCAAUGUGGGCCUGUGCAGAGUUACUCUAAUCUAAGCCCACUGAAAUUGGUAAACUUAGACCAGAGUAAGUCUGCAUAUGACGGCACAUCCUUAGACACAUGCUUAGGAACAGAAAGCAGAAAUUAUUCCAGAAGUCACAGUUCUCUUAGACAGGUGUGUUACAAUACUGUGUUUGUGUGUGUGUGUGUGUGUGUGUGUGUGUGUGUGUGUGUGUGUGGAGAAAGAUUUUCAAGCACUUUUAGAGUCCUUAGAGGCUCCAAGAGCUGACUUGCACAUGGCCGUUCUGGAGAGGGGAAUGUGAAUGUUUAGGUUCCCUUCUGCUUGUUUUUGAAAUCCUAUAGAAGGGAGCAAACUUUCUUCGCUAGAGACUUGCAGCUCUGGCUUACCCUUGACACUCCCUGUGCUCCCACAGGGGAGAAGCUGCCAUCAAACACCGACCUCAUGAUCACUUUGGUCAGAAUGAAGAGGGCGGUGCUUAAAAUGUAAAAGGUGCUGUGGUUGCUGCUCAUGAUGAAGAUACGUCAGUGCAACACACAAGAGGGCUCUUCCUCAUCCUUCUCUAGCAAAGCAAGGGCUAGGCCAGCCCUGUAAGACUUUCCAGUCCCCUCUGUGCUUGGACUGGCGGUGGAAGGGAGUCUGCUCCAUGGCCAAUCCGUGGGAUUUCAAAACAGGCAAAGCACGGUCCAUGUUUUCACAGGCGCAGGGUAUUGUUAUGAAUCAGUCCAGCCCUGAAGUGGUCGGGCGUAUUACAUAGCAUAGACAAGCACCUUCAGUAGCUUGUCACUUCAAGACUCUGUGGAUGAAAACAUAAUCUUGUGGUGUCUGCACAAUGUUAAGUACCUUUAUUUUGCCAAUCAAAGCUUUUGGAAAUGGCAUCUGAAUUGGGAUUGCUGGAGGGGGAGGAAGUGGGAGGUUUGGAGGGGAGAUGUUUUUAAAGCAAUUCACUGUCACACCCCUUCAUAACAAAACAAAGACCAAUGCAGAGAUAAAUUCAGGCCUGUUGUUGAGCUCCCUUGUAGUGCACUGACCCUGCUGUAGGUAACUGAAGGCAUUUGUUGUUGCAGAGCAGUUGCACUAAGAAUCCAAACAUUUCAGUCCACAAACCUGUUUUCGCAUAUCCUUCAGCAAUGAGGGAAGAGAUCAGAAUGGACACAGGUAGCUGUGUUGGUUUGCAGUAGAACAGUAGGAUCUGAUUCCAGUGGCACCUUAGAGACCAACAGGAUUUUCAGGGUAUAACUUUCAAGAAUCAAAGCUUUCUUCUUCAGGGAUAGUAGGGUAGCUUUGACUCUUGAAAGCUUGUACCAUAAAAAUCUUGUUGGUCUCUAGGAUGCCACUGGGUUCAACUACAGAACAGAUAAGUAACAUUGGGCAGGAAAUCUGAAUCCCCCCUCUUCCGCUUGUAUGCAAUUAACAUAUGGGAGAUGGGAAAUAAGCAGUUAAUGCGCUUGCUUGAAAGAUUUUGCCUUUGCCAAGUAAGCCCCCCCUCCCCACCAGUUUAUGGGGGGAAACAUCAGUUCCUAGCUAGGACUCAUAACACAUCAAAAGCGUGGCUGCAAUGAAGACAGAACCAGAAAGUGUGGUGGGAUGGGAAGUGUGCUGCUGAACUCUAGAUAUGACAUAAAUAAGCACCGUAGCUCAAGGCAUUUGAGGAGGCAAAGCACUAGGCCAGCCAGUUUGGCCGGUGAUAGGUACGACGCACCACUGAUCCCCUUGGCAAUGAGAACAUCUAGAGAACAGGCUGUAGCAAAAAGCAUGCAAGAUACAUGCGUGCCUGUCAGUCUCAUUUAUAUCUGGCAAAGUGAGCUUUGCCUCAUGAAAGCUUACACCCUACAAAAUUCUGUUGGGCUUUACGGGGCUACUGGACCCGAAUUUUGUCAAAGGUAGUACUUCAUCAAAAUGAGCUGCUCUGGAGAAGUCCUGAGUCUGCUGUCAUCAACAGGACAACUUCAGGGGAAAGGUAUCAAUCAGUAACGCUCAAGUAGCUGAGCUGGACAAGGUUGAAAAUAUAAGCCACCCACCCCCAGCCAUGCACCUGUAUUCCAACAGAGGAAGCCUAAGCAGUUAUAUGCUUUUACGUCCAUUGAAGCCAACAAGCUUAGAAAAGGUGUGAGUCUGCUUCGGAUUGUACCAGGAAACGCUUUACGUAUCUGUUGCAAACACUUUCAGGAAAGCCUUAUUUCUCGUCUCCACUACAUAGCUGAUUCAUACAUGAUAUGCCAGGCCAAACACCAAACAGCUUCUCUAAAAAGAAACAUGUUCUCAGUGAUUCUCAUUUGUUACUUCUCCUUUGGAUCAGAACCACUACAAAUAAUUAGGGUGACAAGACUUUUUGAAGUUGUUGCCAUAAUACAAGAUGACCUGCAAUCCAUGUUCUCAAAUGUAAUGGAAAAGAAAGCGGUAAAGCGGUUUUUUUUCUAACGAUGAACGGUAGCUUUCUCUUUACAUCACGACAGAUAAAAAUUUUAAAAGAUUAAAAAAAAAUCAAGAACACUGAAAGCUUUUAAAAAAUUUAACAUUGUAUUUUUUUUCAACUUCUUAAAAGUUUCUUUUUAAAAAACUGGUUCAAAAUGGAAUCUUGAGCCUUAUGCUAAACUGCUUUUCUUUGUAACAAACUCAGAAAAUACCCAUCUCAGUAAUCAUAUAGCAUAGCAGUUUAGUGCCAGGGACUUUCAGGUCAUCACAGCUGGUGGUCCCUGAUCCACCUGGGUGAUUUUUUUUACUUCUGGUCUACCCAGUAGCUACAACCAGCCCACACUUCUUGUGGCGAUUAUUUACUUUUUAGGGGUGCGGUGAACAAGGGUAGUUACAGGACAAAGGAAAAGGGGCACAGUAAAGCAGGAAGGGAACCUGAGAAGAAGAUGCACCUUCUACUGUUUGGAGCCAGCAGUUCUACAAAAACCUGCAAUAGCUGCAGAUUGUAAAAAAGAAUUGUUAUGCGGGGCCGUCAUGAAAUCAUUUAAAAAUAAGAGUACAUAUUGUAUAGUGUUUUCUUAAAUAGUAAUAACGUGAAGAUAAUAUAUUUAAGAGACUUAUAGUGUACCCCUCUGAGGCUGUAUAAAUACUCUAUUCAGUUUCAAAUCAAUAUAUUAUGAUUACUGCAAAAAAAUCAGCAUCAGGAAACAUCUGAUCGAUUAAAUUAGCUGUUUAAAUUGGCUCUUUCUCCCUUGGGUGAUGUAAACAGCUGAUUUAAAUCAACCCAUUUUAAGUUGUUUCCCACUCAAGCUCAAUGACCCCGCCCCCACACAAGAUCUUCAAAAGUGCACCUUUGUAGAGGUUUAACCAAUUAAUCUGUCCAACUUCAUCAGCACUCUGCUAAAAGCCACAUCAAGCAAUCCAGGCAAUCCAGGUUGUAAUCACCUACAAAGCAGACUUGGUACAGCCUUGCAAAUGCAAAAAGUUGCUCACCCAUACAUUUUCACUACACCUUCUGCCCUUAACAAAUAUGUAUUGUGUAUUACAUAAUGAUAUGUAAAGAAUAUAUGGUUUAGAAAAAGGGUUUUUUUAAUGCUUCUUUCCCUGCUGUCCCAGAGGAGAUUCUUCUUGGCAGAAAUAAUUUAUAAGCCUGUAUGAGUGUAGCAUGUAAAUGUUUGCAUACAGUUAUAGCAGUCCUGCUGGAGACGAGAAUACGGCCAGUGACCACAUGUCUGGGUUUAUGAAAAAGGGGGGCUAGUCUAGUUGUCAAAAAUUUUCUAGUCAUCACAGAAACCAGUAUAUAUUGAGCCAAGCAUCUAGUUUAAGAACAUGUCCUCCCUAAAGGCCAGGCUGCAAAUCCAUAAGCGUCACCUUAAUUCAGUUCUAGCUAUCGGGGGGAAGAGGAGGCAAGAGAAAAAAACCCGUUCAGUUAGAAAACAACAGCCUUAUCUUAGGAGCAGUUGCUUUGCCUGCUUUACUUUUGCAACAGAUAGACAAAGCUGAUGAUUCAUAGCUCUCUCUCCGGUGACGUUUUUGCAAAAACGUUGCUUCGCCUCAAGAUCAGAAAGGGCUGUCAUAUACAUCAACCUAUUGUGAGCAGGAGAUCUCAAAAGGGCCGAAGCCAAAUGCUUGGCAACCCGGUGGGUUCAAAUCGAUAUUCAACGGAAAGGAGAAAACGGCAGGCCUGACUGUAGCCAGCAAUGCUGCAUUCGUGUCAAAGCCCUGAAAACAUCCUAAUGCUUUAUGUUAAACCUUUCUGUGUGAAACUAGACAAUACAAAUGACACAGGGACGCCACACUUCCCAUCUCAUUCUCUCCCUUCUGCCUUAAUACCUAAACAAAACUUGCUGUGUUACAUCACAGCAUGGCCGAGUUUCCUUGUCACCAGCUCUACUUCACUCACUGCUGUUGCCCAGAGCGCGAUGGCACCGUGUCAUGUGCUGAACUUCACCAAAUGUUACUGGGGACACGGAUGCCGUUUUUGGUGGCAGCCUUAUGUAUCGUCUGAUUUUGCCAUACAAUGCCUCACAUAGAUAUCUGAAGUUACAAUGGAAGAUCUCUUUGCAGCCUUCAAUCUUGGUGAAGCUGUUUGUUUGUUUCAGCUACAGAUUAUUUAAAUUUACACACGGACCAUCUGUACAUAU